UGGAUCCAGACUUUGAUAUGGCUCAGGAUGAACGCUAGCUACAGGCUUAACACAUGCAAGUCGAGGGGCAGCGGGAUUGAAGCUUGCUUCAAUUGCCGGCGACCGGCGCACGGGUGAGUAACGCGUAUCCAACCUUCCGUACACUCAGGGAUAGCCUUUCGAAAGAAAGAUUAAUACCUGAUGGUAUGAUGAGAUUGCAUGAUAGCAUCAUUAAAGAUUUAUCGGUGUACGAUGGGGAUGCGUUCCAUUAGGUAGUAGGCGGGGUAACGGCCCACCUAGCCAACGAUGGAUAGGGGUUCUGAGAGGAAGGUCCCCCACAUUGGAACUGAGACACGGUCCAAACUCCUACGGGAGGCAGCAGUGAGGAAUAUUGGUCAAUGGACGAGAGUCUGAACCAGCCAAGUAGCGUGAAGGAUGAAGGUCCUACGGAUUGUAAACUUCUUUUAUAAGGGAAUAAACCCUCCCACGUGUGGGAGCUUGUAUGUACCUUAUGAAUAAGCAUCGGCUAACUCCGUGCCAGCAGCCGCGGUAAUACGGAGGAUGCGAGCGUUAUCCGGAUUUAUUGGGUUUAAAGGGAGCGCAGACGGGUCGUUAAGUCAGCUGUGAAAGUUUGGGGCUCAACCUUAAAAUUGCAGUUGAUACUGGCGUCCUUGAGUGCGGUUGAGGUGUGCGGAAUUCGUGGUGUAGCGGUGAAAUGCUUAGAUAUCACGAAGAACUCCGAUUGCGAAGGCAGCACACUAAUCCGUAACUGACGUUCAUGCUCGAAAGUGUGGGUAUCAAACAGGAUUAGAUACCCUGGUAGUCCACACGGUAAACGAUGGAUACUCGCUGUUGGCGA
rnacentral:rRNA from 1 species